rnacentral:rRNA from 1 species
GACGUAGGUGACAAGCGUUAUCCGGAUUUACUGGGCGUAAAGGGUGUGCAGGCGGGGGGAUAAGUGGUGUAUGAAAGUGCCCGGCUUAACCGGGCGAGGCUAUGCCAGACUGUCCUUCUUGAGCGCGAGAGAGGAGCGUGGAAUUCCGGGUGUAGUGGUGAAAUGCGUAGAGAUCCGGAGGAACCCCAGAGGCGAAGGCGGCGCUCUGGCUCGCGACUGACGCUCAGACACGACAGCAUGGGGAGCGAACGGG